UACGGAGGAUCCAAGCGUUAUCCGGAUUUAUUGGGUUUAAAGGGUGCGUAGGCGGGCUGUUAAGUCAGUGGUGAAAGGUUGACGCUCAACGUUAACAUUGCCAUUGAAACUGGUAGUCUUGAGUGCAAAUGAGGUAUGCGGAAUGUGUUGUGUAGCGGUGAAAUGCAUAGAUAUGACACAGAACACCGAUUGCGAAGGCAGCAUACUGGGAUGUAACUGACGCUGAUGCACGAAAGCGUGGGGAUCAAAC
rnacentral:rRNA from 1 species